GUCUCCUACGGGACGCAGCAGUGAGGAAUAUUGGUCAAUGGUCGGGAGACUGAACCAGCCAAGCCGCGUGAGGGAUGAAGGUACAGAGUAUCGUAAAUCUCCUUUGUCAGGGAACAAAGGCGGGGACGUGUCCCCGGAUGAGUGUACCUGAAGAAAAAGCAUCGGCUAACUCCGUGCCAGCAGCCGCGGUAAUACGGAGGAUGCGAGCGUUAUCCGGAUUUAUUGGGUUUAAAGGGUGCGCAGGCGGUCUGUUAAGUCAGCGGUCCAAGCCCGGGGCUCAACCCC
rnacentral:rRNA from 1 species